CAAAGUUCCAAGGAGGUGGCGCAUUCAAUGUUAUUCCAAUUAAAGUCACAAUUGGUGGCACCCUCCGAGCUUUUUCUAGAGAAAGAUUGAAGCAACUUAUACAGCGCAUUGAGCAGGUUGUCAUUGAUCAAGCUGCUGUGCAGAGGUGUAACGCAACUAUCAGAUCCAUUGAUGAAACGGAACCUUUCUACCCUCCAACAGUAAAUAAUGAUGACUUGCACAAGCUUUUUGUUGAUCUUGCUGGGAAUCUGCUUGACAUCAAUAAAGUUAAUACUGACACUUUAUUUGGGUUAUAUUUUCCUUUCAAACACUAGUUAGUUUACUGUUAAAACAUGUCUUCUGUUUCUGUCAUGUUUGGCAGUGACACUGGUACCACAACUAUGCAGCAAAAUAAGGUAAACAGAGGGGCUUGUUGGUGUUGCCAACUUGAAACAAAA